CCCUUAGAUGUUCUGGGCUGCACGCGCGCUACACUGAAGCGUUCAACGAGUAUUCACCUUGCCCGGGAGGGUUGGGUAAUCUUUUGAAAACGCUUCGUGAUGGGGAUAGAUUAUUGCAAUUAUUAAUCUUCAACGAGGAAUUCCUAGUAGGCGCAAGUCAUCAGCUUGCGUCGAUUACGUCCCUGCCCUUUGUACACACCGCCCGUCGCUCCUACCGAUUGGGUGUGCUGGUGAAAUGUUCGGAUCGGCCGUUUGUCGCGGUUUCCGCGUCAUGUGGCUGAGAAGUUCAUUAAACCCUCCCACCUAGAGGAAGGAGAAGUCGUAACA
rnacentral:rRNA from 1 species